GUGUGGGGUGAGCAGUACUCACCAGCACAGGCUUCGUCCAGGUCGUGUUUUGUGAAUUUCAGGCGGUUGCCCUGCAGCGUGCACGUGUGGAACUGCACGCGGAAUACCACCUCCCGACCGUCCUCCGAGCUCCGUCAGCACACUACUACGGGAGAGGCGACGGCAGUGAGCGUGAGACGCACGCACCAGGAUGUCGCCCUUGAGCACCACUCCCGGGGAGAGGUUCACGCACAGCGGGGCUCCGUCACGCACCUCCGCGCGGACCGUGCUGACGACGCCAGGGACCUGGGGGACCCCAUGCACCAUGAAGGAGGAUGUGGGAGAGGUACACAGGGGCACUGUUCAUCUUGAUGGAACCUGACAGUAGGCCGUUGAAAUAAUACACGUACCUACACAGCAGCGACAACAGCGUUAAUUGCAAAGAGUGCCAAGGGGCCUUUAAUGAGCACCACAUAGCAAGGAACUCAUAUUAGGCUGAAAGCUAUAGUGUCAAAAUGUGGGUUUCGGCUAUGUGUGUUUUAAAGUCUUUAGUUAUGUUGCAAUAUUUUAAAUGUACUGUAUUACACAGUGUGUGGUUAAUGAAACCCAAAAUGACAGCAGCUGUUAAAUUAUCAGUAGAAAUAGUUAUAAUGUGUAAUCGCUCAUUCUCACAAAUGUGAGUGAAAAUUUACAUUAAUUGCAGCAGAAUUAACGGCACCCUGAUGUAGUCUACCCUUCAUCGUCUACAAGCCUGCAUUUGACAAUGUCAGGCUCUGCGCCACUACAUCCCUAGAGCUAAUCAGGAAAAUAUGAAAUGUGUGCGUUCUAAGCAGUGUACCCUGAUUCACUUCCAUUCAUUGUUUCUGAAUGAAGUUUGGUGAGAUGAAUCGUCACAAUAAUGGGAACAAGCGGACUUUGUUCGUGCGAAUUGAAUUCACGGCCCUGUCACAAGGGAUGUUCACCACCACAAGGCCACAUUUGAAGCCUGCACAGUGUAGAAAUCCCAGGGUGUCACAUUCAGCCUACACCGAUGCUACUUUACAAAGUGCAUAUUUGUGAAAGUUUAUUCGACUCUUUGCCUUUUAUUAGGGAUUCCAGUGCCAUAAAAUUACAAUGUUUGAUCACAGAGAUAAGAUUCGGUUUUUCUACAGAAGAAAAAAAAAUAAAGUUUGCCAGGGGUGCGGCAAUGUAAAAAAAUUGUCUUAAAUAAAGAAAAUACCAUGAUUGCUGGUAAAACUCAAAUGUCGUAUCUUGCUGUCCCCCUUUGCCUCAAUAAAUAAAGUGAACAGA